rnacentral:rRNA from 1 species
UACGUAGGGUGCGAGCGUUGUCCGGAAUUAUUGGGCGUAAAGAGCUCGUAGGCGGUGUGUCGCGUCGGCCGUGAAAACCUGCAGCUUAACUGUGGGCGUGCGGUCGAUACGGGCAUCACUGGAGUUUGGCAGGGGAGACUGGAAUUCCUGGUGUAGCGGUGAAAUGCGUAGAUAUCUGGAGGAACACCGGUGGCGAAGGCGACGUCCUGGACCGGCAUUGACGCUGAGGCGCGAAAGCCAGGGGAGCAAAGCGGG